UCAAACAGAGCAAAACCAAAAAAAGAAAAAAAACAUCAAAGAAAUGCUUUCCCACACAAAAAUCAUACUCCUCGUUUUAUAUUCUUUCUUCAUAUUCACCUUCUCGUCUUCUUCCUCCCCGGAGCCAAGAACUGCCGUGUCAGGUCUCUUCUGCGGCGUACGCAACAGCUCCUCCACUGAUCCAAACUACAUCCCAACUUUCGUCGAUGAUAUGCAAUCACUCUCCUCAAAACUAACUACACGCCAUUUCGCAACUCAGUCCACAAACUCCCUGUCGUCUGACUCUGAAACCCAAACGACGUCGGUUUUCGCACUGGUCCAGUGCCACAACGAUCUCUCAAUGUCGGAUUGCCAGCUCUGCUACGCGAUUGCACGCACGCGCAUCCCUCGCUGUCUCCCUUCCUCCUCCGCGCGGAUCUUCCUCGACGGCUGUUUCCUCCGCUACGACACUUACGAGUUUUACGACGAGUCGAUCUCCGCCGCCUCGGACAGAUAUUCAUGCAGCAACGACACCGUUUUGGAUCCCCAGUUUGGAAUCCGCGUUUCCGAAAUGGCGGUGAGAGCCGCUGUUAGACACGGGGGUUUUCUAACAAACGGCGAGGUGAGUAACAUCUUUUAACAACUAAAUAUGUAAACAUUGAUUUAACGACCAUUCACUUUUUUUGUGUGGGUAUACAAUAGAAGUCUUUAAUCUGCAUACUUUUUUUUUGCUUUAGCUUACACGACAAAGGAAUGGCUCGAUAAAGCUUUUGAAUCAGGAGCUGCGUUACUUAAUUCGUAUCGGGUUCGAUGAAAAUCAAGAGUACUUUGAAUCGUAUUUUCUGCUAUAGAAGACUAAUACGUCAAGUUCACAUAUAUUAUAUAUGGUCUUCUCAAUGUCUAUACGUAAAGAUAGAACAGUUAUGUAAUUAAAUACAUUUUAUACAUCCUACGCCGUUAAUUGUUUUUUUUUCUGUUUAAACACGCUUUAGUAAGAUACUAAGACCAUAAUUAAUUAACCGGAGUUCUUAGAGUGAAGUUCUUAGCGUACUUAAUUCGUAUCAGGAGCUGUACUUAAUUCGUAUCGGGUUCGAUGAAAAUCAAGAGUACUUUGAAUCGUAUUUUCUGCUAUAGAAGACUAAUACGUCAAGUUCACAUAUAUUAUAUAUGGUCUUCUCAAUGUCUAUACGUAAAGAUAGAACAGUUAUGUAAUUAAAUACAUUUUAUACAUCCUACGCCGUUAAUUGUUUUUUUUCUGUUUAAACACGCUUUAGUAAGAUACUAAGACCAUAAUUAAUUAACCGGGGUUCUUAGAGUGAAGUUCUUAGCGGAAAUUAAUAAACUGUUUCUUAACUUUUAACUAAGAGCAUGAUUAUCCCUAGAAACUCGUAAAGUUUCUUAAGUAUACUUUAAUGACUAUUUAACUAUUAAAUUUUAGCUAAGGACUUUAGUUAAGAAUCACCUAAUUUUCUUGCUCCAAUGGGAGUUUCUUAAUUUAGGUUUCUUAAAAAAAAAAAAGGUUGGCACAUACAAAAACAUUGGCACAUACAACUGAUCCAACAGAAAGACUUUGCAUCAAUAAAUAAGUACUUUCAAUUCCAAAAGCAUAGAAACAAAUGAUACAAUUGACAAUGAACUUUGAAGGAAAGCUAUGUCAAAUGCCUGCAAUACACGGAUAAAAACUUACUUAAGCUGAGAGUACAAAUAGAAAAUAAUUAGGAAAGAGCUUCAAAUUCCCUCUCAGAACAGCCUACGAUAAAAUACUGAAUACUAUUAUUGUUUUAAAGAUUUAGAUAUCAAGCAGUCAUCAGGCAAACUAAAGACUUGUAUCUCAAAUCCAGUCAAUUCAUGGAAAGGAUUAAAGCAUAUGGUCUGAAGUAUUUAUCCUUACCCCAACUAAAUGCAAAAGAGAAAGAGAAGGAUCAAAGGCAAUGCUUGACUUAUCCUUCUCGUUUUGAAAAAAAUUCCUAGGAAAACAUACAAAGUAUCUUGUUGAAGCCACAAAGCAGAAUGUAUCAUACAUUCAUUCCUUAGAAACUCGGUACCCCGACUAACGGAAUCCAUGAGACCAGGCAAGGAAUGAGAAAUUAGCCAAACCAAACAAAAAAAGCAAGGUUCUGAGACGGCUACAAGAAGCGCUAAUCAGACCAAAUAUCCUAAAGAGGUGCCAAUAAUUUGAAAGAAAUAUCUUCAAUUACACAUCAAGCUUCCCACAAAAUCAAUUCAAAACCAUUGCACGUCUCUCAUCUACAUCUGUAACAAUCAGAUCAAAUCCAUCUCCCAAUUCCCGAAAUCAGAAAUCGAAAUUGCAAUUCCUAUCCAAUCUCUAACGAAGACCUCGGGGAAGCUAAAAUCUGACUACCAUCCCAGUCACAUCACAAAGUAGAAUCUCAAGAGUCAAAGCCGUAAACAAUCUUAAAAACGAAAUUGAAAUCGAUUCUUACUGUUUUGGAGAUCAACACGAACCUGAGGAGAAGCGUGAAGAAACGAGGCGGCGCCGAUCUUCCUCCAAGACGGAGCUCCAACGCCGUCGACGUUUCUCCUCGACGGAGAACACGAGAGAAGAUGAGAGAAGAGGAGAGGAAGAAAAGAAAAGUUUGAAAGAAAAAAAAAAACCCUAGAAGCUGACACGUGUUAUAAGAAACUCUUCUAUGAUCGGUAACAAAAAAUUAUUAACUAAGGAUCGAUUAUAAGUUUUUAAUUUAGUUUCCAUUUAAUUAAUUGUCUUAUUUUCUUUAAAAAUUCAUCUAAGAAACUGCGAUGAUAGUGGUCUGACGAUCUAUUGAAAAACUUUGUUAGUAAACGAGUCAUAUAUAUAUAUAUUGAAUUUUUGUAUUCCGGUAAUGAGUGCCAAUCGAGUCAAGAUUAUUGAAUUUGCUGCGCCACCCAACCUAACCCUACCCCACCGGUCCGACGAGUUAGCCACCGACACAUAAAUUAGGACGGUUCAUUUUUACAUUUUCUGAAAAAGAUACUCGUAAGUCGUAACUGUUAAGUGUGUACGUGAUUCGUUCUAAAUUGAUUAAACGUUAACACUCAUCACACGUUAAUAAUUUUUGAAACAAUAGUACAGUAGAAUCUCACUAACAAAAUACAGCAUAUGUAUACCAGUAUACGUGAUGUUUCUCGAUUUCUGGACCUGACUUUUACUACUGUUCACGUUUUUCUGAUCAUCUCCUUAACUCCAGGAUGCCCAGUCAGGAUCCAUGUCCCUUUCGUUUAUCUAUAUCCAUUCCUUUAUUAUCUUCCUAAUCAAUUUAUUCGUAUAUAUGUCUAUAGUUAGGUGAACGAUUAAAUGAUGCUAUCAAGUUGUAAAGCUAUAAGUAGAGGUACAAAAAUUGUAAAUAUUGAUUAGGCUGGUUAUUCGAUUUAAUCUGAAAAGCUCUGGAUAUUUAUAUCAUUAUGGAUCACACAAAAUACUAAUAUCCAAUAUUUUUAAAAGAAGAAAAUUGCAACAAAAAAACUCCUACAAAAAGAUAUUUAAAAUAUGAUUAACUAAGUUUGGAUUUGUAGAUUAAAUCCAUCAUACUUCUGUCUAAGCAGCUCGGCAUGUGUUGUGGAUAAAAAGAAUUUCGGCAUGUGUUGUGGAUAAAAAGAAUUUUAUAAAUAUUUUGACGAGUCCUAGAUCAUUACGUUAUUCAAACAGAGCAAAACCAAAAAAAGAAAAAAAACAUCAAAGAAAUGCUUUCCCACACAAAAAUCAUACUCCUCGUUUUAUAUUCUUUCUUCAUAUUCACCUUCUCGUCUUCUUCCUCCCCGGAGCCAAGAACUGCCGUGUCAGGUCUCUUCUGCGGCGUACGCAACAGCUCCUCCACUGAUCCAAACUACAUCCCAACUUUCGUCGAUGAUAUGCAAUCACUCUCCUCAAAACUAACUACACGCC
rnacentral:lncRNA from 1 species